rnacentral:rRNA from 1 species
UAGGGAAUCUUCGGCAAUGGACGGAAGUCUGACCGAGCAACGCCGCGUGAGUGAAGAAGGUUUUCGGAUCGUAAAGCUCUGUUGUAAGAGAAGAACGAGUGUGAGAGUGGAAAGUUCACACUGUGACGGUAUCUUACCAGAAAGGGACGGCUAACUACGUGCCAGCAGCCGCGGUAAUACGUAGGUCCCGAGCGUUGUCCGGAUUUAUUGGGCGUAAAGCGAGCGCAGGCGGUUAGAUAAGUCUGAAGUUAAAGGCUGUGACUUAACCAUAGUACGCUUUGGAAACUGUUUAACUUGAGUGCAAGAGGGGAGAGUGGAAUUCCAUGUGUAGCGGUGAAAUGCGUAGAUAUAUGGAGGAACACCGGUGGCGAAAGCGGCUCUCUGGCUUGUAACUGACGCUGAGGCUUGAAAGCGUGGGGAGCAAACAGGAUUAGAUACCCUGGUAGUCCACGCCGUAAACGAUGAGUGCUAGGUGUUAGACCCUUUCCGGGGUUUAGUGCCGCAGCUAACGCAUUAAGCACUCCGCCUGGGGAGUACGACCGCAAGGUUG